rnacentral:rRNA from 1 species
UCUACGGGAGGCAGCAGUGAGGAAUAUUGGUCAAUGGGCGGGAGCCUGAACCAGCCAAGUCGCGUGAAGGAAGAAGGAUCUAUGGUUCGUAAACUUCUUUUGCAGGGGAAUAAAGUGCAGGACGUGUCCUGUUUUGUAUGUACCCUGAGAAUAAGGAUCGGCUAACCCCGUGCCAGCAGCCGCGGUAAUA